rnacentral:tRNA from 4 species
GCCCCUGUAGCUCAACGGAUAGAGCGCCAGUCUACGAAGCUGUGGGUGGGAGUUCGACUCUCUCCGGGGGCGCCA